UGGGGAAUAUUGCACAAUGGGGGAAACCCUGAUGCAGCGACGCAGCGUGAACGAAGAAGGUAUUCGUAUCGUAAAGUUCUGUCCUAUGGGAAGAUAAUGACAGUACCAUAGAAGAAAGCUCCGGCUAAAUACGUGCCAGCAGCCGCGGUAAUACGUAUGGAGCGAGCGUUGUCCGGAAUUAUUGGGCGUAAAGGGUACGCAGGCGGUUUAAUAAGUCGAAUGUUAAAGAUCGGGGCUCAACCCCGUAAAGCAUUGGAAACUGAUAAACUUGAGUAGUGGAGAGGAAAGUGGAAUUCCUAGUGUAGUGGUGAAAUACGUAGAUAUUAGGAGGAAUACCAGUAGCGAAGGCGACUUUCUGGACACAAACUGACGCUGAGGUACGAAAGCGUGGGGAGCAAACAGG
rnacentral:rRNA from 1 species